CUGGUGGCGAGUGGCGAACUUGCCGAGUAAUAUAUGGAGAAAGUGCCCAGUCGUGGGGGAUAACGUAGUGAAAAUUACGCUAAUACCGCAUACGAUCUAUGGAUGAAAGCGGGGGAUCGCAAGACCUCGCGCGAUUGGAGCGGCCGAUAUCAGAUUAGGUAGUUGGUGAGGUAAAGGCUCACCAAGCCGACGAUCUGUAGCUGGUCUGAGAGGACGACCAGCCACACUGGGACUGAUUAACGGCCCAGACUCCUACGGGAGGCAGCAGUGGG
rnacentral:rRNA from 1 species